rnacentral:misc_RNA from 1 species
AAGAUGUUAUAAUCACUCUCUUGACAAACUGAACUUUUGUGCAUGAUUUUAGAACAUUAAGUGUUCCUUUCACAGCUGGAUCAAUUUGUUCUGCUUUAGACUACACUCGAAGACUGCUUACGUACCUCCUAUGAAGGAUCAGGUUCACGUAGCUCUUAAAAUUCUAGCGAAAUUUUGACAGAAUUUCUCUUAAAAUUUUGACAUUUCACCCUGUUAAAAGAUUGAACAAAAUCAAACAAUAAUAUCACGGUUCAAAAUGGGUUCACACCACACCAAUUUCGCUAAUUAAUAUGCCUCAUUGUGAUCACAAGUGAACAUUGCCAUGUUGAUAUUUCUUUAUCACCUUAGAGCCACACAUUUAGUAAAUAAAUAUUUAACAAUUUUUAAUCCAAUCACUAUAUAUUUUCCUCAAACAUCACCACUAAGAAAAUUCAACAAUAAAUUUUAAAUAAAAUAACAUUUGUUCUAUCAUGAUCAUAGAAAUUAUUUUAGUUAUACAUGAUUUCCUAAUGGUCCCAACGUUAUCAUCUAGUAGUUCAUGACUUGCACUGACCAAAGUCAAGCCUUAUCAAUAAUACAGGAGUAUUGAUUAUGCAUUUCAAUGAUAUCAAAUUGCUUCUAGCUAGACUGAAUUUGCCUUUUAUUGAAUUUUACGAAUGUACAUUUUUAUGUGAAUGUAUGUGCACAAAAAUUUACUAAUAAUCAUUUUUCACUAAAAAAGCAUGACUACACACAUAGAAGAAAAAAAAAAUGAUUUAUGCUUGUAACAACUAUUACGUUCAGCACUCAGUGAUCCCAUAUUGUACCAAGAAAACUUCUUGAAACUUUUAAAGGAAAGAAACAUGUCACAUGAAGUCAUUCUUUUUUUUUCUUUGACAUGAGAGUAGCAAGGAAUCAUACAUUAAUAAUUUACUUGCACAACAAUUAUUUUCACAAUAUACAUAUAUCCCAUAAAUAACAUUAUUGCAAAAACCAUAACUCAUUAGCCAGAUGUUAUCCUAUACUUCUCUUAUUAAACAUUAUCUCCUAAUAAAUUCUUGUUUUAUUCCACACUCUAGCUACAUAUUCCUGUAUGGACAAUAUCACACAUUUUCAAUGUCCAUAAUAUCUUCCAAACAAAGAUAAUAUUCAAAUUAAUUAGAGUUACAAAUUACAAAUAAAUCAGCUAAAAUAUUCUCAAGUUCCUUGUAUUGAAUAUCAAACAUACUUAUCAAUAUACAAAAGCGCCUCUAACACCUUUGGAUAUCCAUAAGCAUGAUUUAGCCUAAAAUAUUUAUAACAUAUCAUCAAUAAUACAAAGAUUCAUUUCUAAAAUCCUAAUCCACAAGCCAAUAAUCACAUCAAUUUUUAAUUAUCCAACUUAUGGCUCCAUAAAAAUAUAAUAUAAAAAAUAAUACUCAAUUUCAUAAUUAUUCCAACAACUAACAUAUUCUUACUUCAACCAAAUUCAACCCUUCACAACUUAACUCUUCAUUAUCAAGCUUCAACCAAUCCUAUAAAAUUUAAAUAUCAUGAACUCACAUAAUCACAUAUACCCAUAUAUCAAAAAUCCAACUAAAUCCCAUAUACGUAUCUCUCAUAAAUAUUCUACAAUCACAUCAAAAUUCAAUAAACACUACCUCAAGAGAUGCAUUCCCUCGCCUCUUAUGAGAAUUGAAUAUUCAUUCAUGUCCCCAGUUGGAGGAAAGAUCUAGAAAUAAAAGGUGCAGAUUGGACUUUGCAUUUCUCACAUCCCAGAUUUUCAAGUUGAUGGCAAAAGAAUUCAAUGGGAGGGCCGCUAU